AACGAACGCUGGCGGCAGGCUUAACACAUGCAAGUCGAACGCAUCCUUCGGGGUGAGUGGCAGACGGGUGAGUAACACGUGGGAACGUACCUUUCGGUUCGGGAUAACCCAGGGAAACUUGGGCUAAUACCGGAUACGUCCUUAGGGAGAAAGAUUCAUUGCCGAAAGAUCGGCCCGCGUCUGAUUAGCUAGUUGGUGAGGUAACGGCUCACCAAGGCGACGAUCAGUAGCUGGUCUGAGAGGAUGAUCAGCCACACUGGGACUGAGACACGGCCCAGACUCCUACGGGAGGCAGCAGUGGGGAAUAUUGGACAAUGGGCGCAAGCCUGAUCCAGCCAUGCCGCGUGAGUGAUGAAGGCCCUAGGGUUGUAAAGCUCUUUCGGCGGGGAC
rnacentral:rRNA from 1 species